rnacentral:siRNA from 1 species
AGCCAAAUCUGGAUCCAAAGACCA